ensembl:snRNA U6 U6 spliceosomal RNA
GUGCUUGCUUCAGCAGCACAUAUACUAAAAUUAGAACGAUACAGAAAAGACUAGCGAUGGCCCCUGCAUAAAGACUGCUUAUAUUCAAAAAGUAUACUAUAUUAAA